UACAGAGGGUGCGAGCGUUAAUCGGAAUUACUGGGCGUAAAGCGUGCGCAGGCGGCUCCUUAAGUCAGAUGUGAAAUCCCCGGGCUUAACCUGGGAACUGCGUUUGAAACUGGGGAGCUCGAGUGUGGAAGAGGGGGGUGGAAUUCCAGGUGUAGCAGUGAAAUGCGUAGAGAUCUGGAGGAACACCGAUGGCGAAGGCAGCCCCCUGGGCUAACACUGACGCUCAUGCACGAAAGCGUGGGGAGCAAACAGG
rnacentral:rRNA from 1 species